rnacentral:lncRNA from 1 species
ACUUGUCAGAAAGCUACCUCUAGCUGGCUUGUUAAAAUGUGCUUUUGAAACUCAAUUAAAAGCCAUGGCACUGGAGAGCUAGGUAGGUCCCUAAUAUCCCAUAAGUCGAUGUAUUUUUUCUUUAAAAAACAUUUCAUCGAUAAUUAUUUACCAGGAAGUUUUUUUCGCCCCCCCUUAAUCACGAGUCUGUUUUCAAAUCUUAGGAUCAACGCAAACUUUAUUUAUUCGGGAGCUAACUAUGGCAGUCUGAAAAAAAUUUUUUCUAGAACCAGAAAAGAAGAAGGCCCCCAAGAAUUCAAAUGGUUUCUGUUGAGUAAUCAAUGGUCCUAUUCUUUGAAAUAA